rnacentral:rRNA from 1 species
UACGAACUGUGCAAACGUUAUUCGGAAUCACUGGGCUUACAGGGUGCGUAGGCGGCUUGUUAAGUAGGGUGUGAAAGCCCCCGGCUCAACCGGGGAAUUGCGCCCUAAACUGGCGAGCUGGAGUGAGAUAGGGGUGUGUGGAACUUCCGGUGGAGCGGUGAAAUGUGUUGGUAUCGGAAGGAACGCCGGUGGCGAAAGCGACACACUGGAUCUUGUCUGACGCUGAGGCACGAAAGCCAGGGGAGCGAACGGG